AAAAGAUGAGCGACUGAAGUAAGACAGAAACAGUAUGUCGACAACUUCAUAGGAACAACAGAGAAAGAACGAGCUUUUUUGCUCAGGGUUGCCAUUUCAAUUCAUGUAGUAAAAUCAUUGCACAAUGGAGAACUAAUGAAAAUUAAUACAAUUUGAGUGAAGUUUAACAUAUACGGCGUGUUUUAUUCUUGCUACUGUCAACCCGAGACGUCUGUUUACAACCUAAAUGUGUCCUAAAGGUGCCUUGUAUUUUUUAUUAAGUACGAAAAAAUUAACGCAAAUUAUUUUGGAUAUGUGGCAUCCUUGCUUGUGCUAGAGCCCGGUCCAACAUGCAUGCAAAGACUGUACCCAAGGGGAUGGCAGCCCUCACAUUUGACAGUCGGUCACUUAUCGGGGCCCUCGGGGCCAGAUCAUCCCUAUACCGAAUAACAGCAAAUGACAAUGAAGUCAUGUCCUGGGCUAAGACAAGACGCGACAGCUGGCUUCUUAUUUUUCUUUUCGUAACGGCCGUCAUCCCAGUUAAAAUUUUUUUGAACGUUCCACGCCGUUGAUGCCAGAAUGAUUAUUUUCAACAACUUUUGCAGGUCAAUGAAAAUAAAACAAAUUUAAAAUGCAAUAUAUAUAGGCGAAUAAUACUCAAAUUUUAUGUAUUAUUUUAUGUUCAAUAAAGCAUACUUCUACUAUCAAA